CGCGAAUUCGCCCUUCGGGGUGCAGCAGGCGCGAAAACUUUACAAUGCGGGAAACCGUGAUAAGGGGACACCGAGUGUCAGCAUCAUAUGCUGGCUGUCCAGGUGUGUAAAAUACACCUGUUAGCAAGGGCCGGGCAAGACCGGUGCCAGCCGCCGCGGUAACACCGGCGGCCCGAGUGGUGAUCGUGAUUAUUGGGUCUAAAGGGUCCGUAGCCGGUUUGGUCAGUCCUCCGGGAAAUCUGAUAGCUUAACUAUUAGGCUUUCGGAGGAUACUGCCAGACUUGGAACCGGGAGAGGUAAGAGGUACUACAGAGGUAGGAGUGAAAUCUUGUAAUCCCUGUGGGACCACCUGUGGCGAAGGCGUCUUACCAGAACGGGUUCGACGGUGAGGGACGAAAGCUGGGGGCACGAACCGGAUUAGAUACCCGGGUAGUCCCAGCCGUAAACGAUGCUCGCUAGGUGUCAGGCAUGGCGCGACCGUGUCUGGUGCCGCAGGGAAGCCGUGAAGCGAGCCACCUGGGAAGUACGGCCGCAAGGCUGAAACUUAAAGGAAUUGGCGGGGGAGCAC
rnacentral:rRNA from 1 species